AGUGAACGCUGGCGGUAGGCCUAACACAUGCAAGUCGAACGGCAGCACAGUAAGAGCUUGCUCUUACGGGUGGCGAGUGGCGGACGGGUGAGGAAUACAUCGGAAUCUACUUUUUCGUGGGGGAUAACGUAGGGAAACUUACGCUAAUACCGCAUACGACCUACGGGUGAAAGCAGGGGAUCUUCGGACCUUGCGCGAUUGAAUGAGCCGAUGUCGGAUUAGCUAGUUGGCGGGGUAAACCCCCACCAAGGCGACGAUCCGUAGCUGGUCUGAGAGGAUGAUCAGCCACACUGGAACUGAGACACGGUCCAGACUCCUACGGGAGGCAGCAGUGGGGAAUAUUGGACAAUGGGCGCAAGCCUGAUCCAGCCAUACCGCGUGGGUGAAGAAGGCCUUCGGGUUGUAAAGCCCUUUUGUUGGGAAAGAAAAGCAGCAGGUUAAUACCCCGCUGUUCUGACGGUACCCAAAGAAUAAGCACCGGCUAACUUCGUG
rnacentral:rRNA from 1 species